CCUUCAUAAAAUCCUCUUCCGCGCUUAACUCAACAGUGAAUGGUGUACAGGUCAUACUGUACGGGCCACAAAAUGAUGAAGUACAACCUAACGUUACUUGAUCCUGAUGAAUGACUCAGCGAAAAUGGUUUACGAUCAGAUUAUGAGGAUCAAUCUGCUCGAUCCUGGAUGACAAUGGUGUACGAUCAGGUUAAAACCACCUUUAAGCCGACCUUGUUAGGGAAACCAGGAUAUCCCAAACUCCUGUUGUGCCUCAAGUUGUUGGAUGGUUGGAACCUCUAGUCGGACUCAUCAAUACAGUUGCCUACAUGGAAAUUUGGCUGAUCUUGCUGUUUUGGGGUUACAUUGCAAAAUGAACCACAGGCCAAGGUUCCUGGAGGCUGUCAGACCAGUUGCGUUUGUAAUGAAUGUCCUUGACGCCUCAAACUGAGCAGGGUUUGGUCAUGAAAGUGCAAAUACAAUUACCACUGACCUGCAAUGUUCACUAUUUUGGUGUGCUGUCAAAAUAUACUUAAACUGUAAAUGUAGUGUGAACUAUAGAUUGGUCAAUAAAGAAUACUCCAAGCAUUGGUUUCACUUGAUGUUGUCCAUAACAAUAAUGUUAUAUGUAAAGUGUUGGUCCCAGAGAAUGUAAUGUUAAUUUGGCAGUGCCCAGAAGACCUCACUGCGUGGAUUGCUUAUGUCAAUUUUGAACAGUCACGUGGUGGUUGACGUACGUGCAGGCUAUUUAAAUGUGCAGAGACCGUGGUGAGUGAGGCCCAUUGUCCUGGCACUCAUCUGCAGCCAUAGCCUCAUUUCAACAUAGUGCACAGUCGUAAGGAUCUACACAUAAUUCACGUGACAUGGCCUGCAUAUUCACCAGACAUGUUACUCCACGUGGGGUACUUGUUACCUUUUGAAUAGUGAUACAGAACCACAUUGUACUGUGAUACUCAACCCCCAGUCUUUCCCGGGAGUUUUGUCAGUCUUGAGGUUCGCGGGUAAUUGUCCUUGAGGUUUUGUUCGGGUGUGUACCGUGUAAAGUUAUUAUACAACUUCAUUACUGCGUUGGCAAGUAUAGUUAUAAAAGCAUGCCGUAACUUGGCGUUGUUUAGACCCUGAUUUUCAUAGUCUCCGAGAUGGCUAGUGAGGAUUCGGUGUUAUGCACUAUAGCCCGUUACUAUGUGAUUGCAUGUUCUCUGCUGUUGGCUUGUGGCUGUAUAUGUUAUGCAACACAGCUGACUAGACACAUUGUCAACAGUUUCAGGGCCAUGGGCCUUUCUCAUGAUGUAAAAAUACAGAACAUGAACUGUGCAAUGAGUUGUGGGGGCACAUUCAGAACGUAGUGUUGCGAGAACAAACGGUCUUAUGUUAACAGGAGCCAAGUGUGUAACUGUAUUGAGCAUGGGCGCAUAGAUAUUCUACACAACGACUGACCGCUGAAGCGCCUAGGGGGCUGGGACCAGCUCGGGCGCCAACGAUAGGCUGAGUGAGUUUAAACCACGCCCAGUCUCAUAACUGUCAGGAACAAAUCAGUUCUAUUUGCUCUGCGAGGUGUGACAGCGAGCCUGUAUAUACGAAAAUUGCAUGUACCCUUUAUUGCUUAGCUAAUAACAAGUACAUAGUAUACAAUCGGUGACUCAUUUUCAUAUUUAUCCUGAUACCAGAUUCGAUUGAUGCAACCCUUAACACUAGUACCACCAAAAUGUUAGCUAGCUAUCCUCAUCACCUAGCUACCUAUAAUUUCUUUGUUCCCACUCAAUGAUGGCGUCUCCCAUCAACCAAGGUUCCGUGGCCUGAACAUGGCUGUUAGACCACUGUUCAUAGGCCGUCAUUGGAAAUAACCAUUUGUUCUUAACUGACUUGCCUAGUUAAAAGUAAACAUAAGGUAUGUUCAAUUCCCUUCAAUGUUUGUCUCAAGAAUAAACAAGUGAAAUAAUUAGUCAGAUUAGCUAGCUACUUGUCUUUAGGCUUUUAAAGGGGGAAUCAGCAGUUGAUACAUCUUUGGAUUUAAUGAUAUGUACCCAUUGAUUCUUGAAGAUAUUACUUAUAAAUGCCCUAUGAGCUUAGUUUGUCAUACCCCACCAGAACCCCAAAUAAAAGCUAGUUUUACUCCAAUGUUUUUUAACAAAGUAAAUGUAACCACUGUAGCCUCAAGCUAUAUCAAGGAAGGUCAGUCCUUGCAUCUAUAGCUCUGGCUAUGAAUUUGAGUGGUAACAUUUCUCCAGCCCAGUCCCAAGAAGACGGAAGAUGCUUUAUUGUUUCUACUGCUGAUUGCUGCUUUAAGUGCUUUUCAUUUGCUUCAUAUUGUAACCUGCAGUAGGCUCUAUGUGAAUGCGGUAUAAUGAAAAGACUGGCUCCUACAAUAACCAAGGGCUUUUGGUCUUGCUGGCAAUGGCUAAUUACCUUUCAGUUUGACCAAAAGGCCUGAAGUCUCUUGUUCAUAGACAAGGAAACACUUACAUACCCCCAUGUUAUACUUUAAAAUGUAAUAUAUUAAUUUUGUAGUAAGAAACAUAACGGCUAACAGGGGCACCCUUGUGUUUUAUCAUGAACGGGGUAUGAAAGGAGGGCCUCGUCCCUGGUGACGGAGGCUGCUGCAGCUACAGGACUACCCUUGUCUGUUAAGAACCGGAUUGGUAAC